rfam:Aedes aegypti strain Liverpool supercont1.1292 genomic scaffold, whole genome shotgun sequence.
AAAACGGCCCUUUUCAGGGCCAAUAUUACGAUUGAAGAGUUGU